AUUGAACGCUGGCGGAAUGCUUUACACAUGCAAGUCGAACGGCAGCACGGGGGCAACCCUGGUGGCGAGUGGCGAACGGGUGAGUAAUACAUCGGAACGUGCCCAGUCGUGGGGGAUAACGUAGCGAAAGUUACGCUAAUACUGCAUACGAUCUACGGAUGAAAGCGGGGGGACGUAAGGCCUCGCGCGGUUGGAGCGGUCGAGGGCAGAUUAGGUAGUGGGUGGGGUAAAGGCCGUCCAAGCCGACGAUCUGUAGCUGGUCUGAGAGGACGACCAGCCACACUGGGACUGAGACACGGCCCAGACUCCUACGGGAGGCAGCAGUGGGGAAUUUUGGACAAUGGGCGCAAGCCUGAUCCAGCCAUUCCGCGUGCAGGAUGAAGGCCCUCGGGUUGUAAACUGCUUUUGUACGGAACGAAACGCGCUGAGCUAAUACCUCGGCGUAAUGACGGUACCGUAAGAAUAAGCACCGGCUAACUACGUGCCAGCAGCCGCAGUAA
rnacentral:rRNA from 1 species